rnacentral:lncRNA from 1 species
GAAGAGUUCAAGUUAUCUUUAUGGAUGAGAAGUUGAAAUAUGAGUUUAAAAGGUGUAAUUAGCGUGAAAUUCUUUAUAUUUCCUUAUGAAAGAUUGUGUAAAUGUUACAGUUGUCAUAUUAAUUAUAUAUAUAAAAAAAUUAGUGUGAAACUAUGGAAUGUUACAAUGAUGGUGGCUGGAGUUGGAAGAAAAAGAGGAGGAAAAAGAAAAGGAGAAAAAGAUGAAGAAUAUGAGAAAAAAUAGAAGACGACAAUGGACACGAUGCUAACGAUGGAGAAGGAGAAGGACGAGGAUGAAAAAAAUGAGAGGAGGGAAGGAAUAAGAAGAAAAAAAGAAAAAAAAAGAAGAAAAGGAGCAGGAGAAGGAAAAAGAUAAAGAUCAAAUCGUGAUAUUUAACGACAAAUAUUUAUCAACAAAUUUAUAAUCAUUAUUAAUACUGGUAAUUAAAAUUAACGACAAAAUUGUAGUCAUUAAUAAUCUAUUAAUAAUCUUGAACUACCAAACAAAUUUUUUUAUUAUUAAUAGAUCAUGUUCGAGGAUAAUUAUUUGAUUUUCUUUUACACUAUGUUCGUUUGAAGGGAAUUUCCUAUUCACAGUGAUAAGCGCGGAUGGAUUUACGAAAAUUUUGUGUUCGUUUACGCUGAUUUGCGAGGAAACAAAUCUGCUGAUUUGCGAGAUAUCUGUAUUUUAUCCAUCCCGCUAUUUUGAGCAGAUUUGCAUUGAUUUAUAUUUAAAUGUCGUAUUUGCCCUCUCGUCUAUGGUAAUUUUUGUUUUAUGAUUUUUAUGUGAUUGUUGCAUGUCGGAGCCAUGUGGAU